rnacentral:rRNA from 1 species
GAUCUACCUACGAGAUGGGGACUAUUAGAAAUAGUAGCUAAUACCGAAAGUCAAUUAAUUUGUUUGAUGAAAGGAAGCCUUAGCUUCGCUUGUAGAGUCUGCGUCUUAUUAGCUAGUUGGGGUAAAUGCCUACCAAGGCGAGUAACCGGCCUGAGAGGGACGGUCACACUGGAACUGAGAUACGGUCCAGACUCCUACGGGAGGCAGCAGCUAAGAAUCUUCCGCAAUGGGCGAAAGCCUGACGGAGCGACACUGCGUGAAAGAAGGUCGAAAGAUUGUAAAAUUCUUUUAAUGAGGAAUAAGCUUUGUAGGAAACAAAGUGAUGACGUUAAUUUAAUAAGCCCCGGCUUACGUGCCAGCAGCCGCGGUAAUACGGGGGCGAGCGUUGUUCGGGAUUAU